rnacentral:misc_RNA from 1 species
UCAACGAUUGGUGCAGCCCUUUGGUUUUGGAAGAGCCCGUUACGCGAUACACUAUUAUUUAUAGGCAAAUAUGGAGUUGCUGGUGUAAAGCCGUUAUAACCGUUAUGUAACAGCCAUUAUUUACUGUUAUGCAAUGGUGGCAGUCUGAUGCAAUCACAUGGAAAUAGUAUUAUUUUGCUUCUCUUUUCUUUGUUUGCGUAUUUUCACUUCCAUAGCUGCUAUAUUUCUCAUAUUCUUUCAAAUUUUCACCCAAAAUUUCUCCUUUAUUCUACAAAUUCUCUCCCUUAUUGUUUGCUAAGCUAAGAUCAUCAUUAAAUAUCUCUAUUCUAGCUAUAAAUUGUUUAAUGCUAAUGAUGUCUAAACAUUAUAGAUUUAAUGCAUUUAUAUGAUGUAUUUAUGCUUAUUAUAUGGUUGUGUAUCUUAGUUUUACUUAU